rnacentral:rRNA from 1 species
GACGAACGCUGGCGGCGUGCUUAACACAUGCAAGUCGAACGGAAAGGCCCUGCUUUUGUGGGGUGCUCGAGUGGCGAACGGGUGAGUAACACGUGAGUAACCUGCCCUUGACUUUGGGAUAACUUCAGGAAACUGGGGCUAAUACCGGAUAGGAGCUCCUGCUGCAUGGUGGGGGUUGGAAAGUUUCGGCGGUUGGGGAUGGACUCGCGGCUUAUCAGCUUGUUGGUGGGGUAGUGGCUUACCAAGGCUUUGACGGGUAGCCGGCCUGAGAGGGUGACCGGCCACAUUGGGACUGAGAUACGGCCCAGACUCCUACGGGAGGGAGCAGUGGGGAAUAUUGCACAAUGGGCGGAAGCCUGAUGCAGCAACGCCGAGUGCGGGAUGACGGCCUUCGGGUUGUAAACCGCUUUCGCCUGUGACGAAGCGUGAGUGACGGUAAUGGGUAAAGAAGCACCGGCUAACUACGUG